rnacentral:rRNA from 1 species
GUGCAACAGAAUGAUCGAGCUCGGCUCGACUCUCCCACCCAAUGUGUACCUACCUCUGUUGCUUUGGCGGGCCGCGGUCCUCCGCACCGGCGCCCUUCGGGGGGCUGGCCAGCGCCCGCCAGAGGACCAUAAAACUCCAGUCAGUGAACUUCGCAGUCUGAAAAACAAGUUAAUAAACUAAAACUUUCAACAACGGAUCUCUUGGUUCUGGCAUCGAUGAAGAACGCAGCGAAAUGCGAUAAGUAAUGUGAAUUGCAGAAUUCAGUGAAUCAUCGAAUCUUUGAACGCACAUUGCGCCCCUUGGUAUUCCGAGGGGCAUGCCUGUUCGAGCGUCAUUUCAACCCUCAAGCUCUGCUUGGUAUUGGGCCCCGUCCUCCACGGACGCGCCUUAAAGACCUCGGCGGUGGCGUCUUGCCUCAAGCGUAGUAGAAAACACCUCGCUUUGGAGCGCACGGCGUCGCCCGCCGGACGAACCUUUGAAUUAUUUCUCAAGGUUGACCUCGGAUCAGGUAGGGAUACCCGCUGAACUUAAGCAUAUCAAAAGCCGGAGGAA